rnacentral:ncRNA from 1 species
CAAAUAGUAAUGACGGAAAAAAGUAGGUUUAUGGGUGCUAAACAGAGAGCCGGUGGUUGGUGCGAACCGGUUAGUGACAUAUACUGAAGUACCUUCCUGAACUGCGAAGCUGAACAUACAGUAGGCUGAGCCGGCGUGGCUGCCGUUAUUUGGCUAUAAGGUGAUCUGAUUCGAGAUUAUUAGGGUGGUACCGCGGAACUUUCCGUCCCUUGC